UGUACUAAGGUGUAAUUUACGCACAAAAGUUUUUGGGUGCUUAGGAGCUUGGAAAUGCAAGCUAGUACAA
rnacentral:tRNA from 1 species